AAUCUCAAUGGCAGAAAGUCAUGCCAGACUUUGUCUUAAAAACCGUGUAGAAGAAGAAGAUGCACUUGAAGUUAUUAUGUUGUAUGAGGAAUCUUUGACCUCCAUGUUUGGUCCAUCAGUAUUAAGCAUUCCUCCUCUGCCACAUAUCCCAGAAGACUUCAUCGAAGACUACUUAGAUAAUCAAAAAAACAAAUCUGCUUUGCAGAGAUUUAAAGCACGACUGCAACAAUUUGCUGGUAUGCAUCCAGGACAUGAAGAAUGAUCAUAACAAUGGUAGACGAGAUUUUAUCUUAAGCUGGAUUCGUGAUGUUUAAAGCGACAGAGUUCAUCAAAAGGAAGUGUCAAGGGAACCGUAUUAAGUUACACAGUUAGUUUAGGACUUAAUAGGAGUAAUCCAGAAUGGAAUAUGGAUAUUGGAUAAAUAUUUGGAGAGACGAAAACAUUUACCCUGUCAAAAGAUUUUUUUGUGUGUUCCUUAUCAUAUUUGAUAAAUAUCUAAGUAAAAUAUUUUUGUACAUCAUAUAUUAUUAGAAAACCUGCAAAUUCUUUG